UCUCGGCGCCGCACGUCCGCACCGCCCUCAGUCUUGAUGAAUUGAGCGGGCCCACCCUGCGGCGUCAACAGCGGGUCUCGGACCGACCGUGAGCUUGGGGACUUUGUCUCCAACGACUGCGGGUGCAGCGGCCUGACUUCUAAACGCAAGUUGAAGACUACAGGUACAAGCCAAUGAAGCUGGAAUGCCCUGACACUGGUAUUUUAACUGACUUACACCAACUAUCACUCUGCAGUUUACAACACACAAGUGCCUCCAGUGAGGUCAACUAUUCUCACAUAACUUGUAGCAACCACGUAUCUGCACUGGCUUAGGAGUUUAGGGCAGUGGGAUAGUGCUGGUGGUUUAAUUCUCACAACUCUGUGAAGUGGAUACUGUAAAAUUACAGAUGAAGCAGUAGUUCAGGUAGUAAAUUGAGAUACCAUCACAUAUGCAUAGCCCUGAACAAGGAGCCUCAUAUGUACCUUUUUGGCUAUGUAAACUAUGAAAAGUCACUUCUCUUGAGAUUUAGUGUCCUGGUUAAACGGUAGA